UACGGGGGGGGCAAGCGUUGUUCGGAAUUACUGGGCGUAAAGGGUUCGUAGGGGGCUUGCUAAGUCAGACGUGAAAUCCCUCAGCUUAACUGGGGAACUGCGUCUGAGACUGGUGAGCUUGAGUGCAGGAGAGGAACGCGGAAUUCCAGGUGUAGCGGUGAAAUGCGUAGAUAUCUGGAGGAACACCGGUGGCGAAGGCGGCGUUCUGGACUGCUACUGACACUGAUGAACGAAAGCCAGGGGAGCAAACGGG
rnacentral:rRNA from 1 species